rnacentral:rRNA from 1 species
GACGAACGCUGGCGGCGUGCUUAACACAUGCAAGUCGAACGGAAAGGCCCUGCUUUUGUGGGGUGCUCGAGUAGCGAACGGGUGAGUAACACGUGAGUAACCUGCCCUUGACUUUGGGAUAACUUCAGGAAACUGGGGCUAAUACCGGAUAGGAGCUCCUGCUGCAUGGUGGGGGUUGGAAAGUUUCGGCGGUUGGGGAUGGACUCGCGGCUUAUCAGCUUGUUGGUGGGGUAGUGGCCUACCAAGGCUUUGACGGGUAGCCGGCCUGAGAGGGUGACCGGCCACAUUGGGACUGAGAUACGGCCCAGACUCCUACGGGAGGCAGCAGUGGGGAAUAUUGAACAAUGGGCGGAAGCCUGAUGCAGCAACGCCGCGUGCGGGAUGACGGCCUUCGGGUUGUAACCCGCUUUCGCCUGUGACGAAGCGUGAGUGACGGUAAUGGGUAAAGAAGCACCGGCUAACUACGUG